rnacentral:lncRNA from 8 species
AUGUGUUUAGCAAUUAACCAUCAGAGGGAUGAGAAAAUAUCUGACCCUGUGUCAGUUAUUAGGGGCCAUUUCCACCACUCCCAUGUUUUUUUGGGGAUUCAGCACCAGUAUGUCUUUGUCCCUAAGGCUGAUGUUCUCUUGGGUCUGGUUUUUAGGGCGAAUCUGGUCGCGAUGGAAACGGACAGCCUGGACCACCAGGCCCACCUGGCCCACCAGGACAAAUCAUCUACCAGACCUCCAGCAGUUAUGAUGGUGUCGUUGGAGGCACCGGGCCCCAGGGCCAAGCUGGAUUCCCUGGCCCGAUUGGACCUAAGGGUGACAUGGGAGAUCCAGGCCAACCCAGUUAUGGAGUCAAGGUCAGUGAUGUGACCACACAGCAACAUUGCCCUGUCAUUGUUGCUACAGUGUAGCACUGAGUUAGGCCCAUUCCCAGCAAGUGUUUAUUUUGUGGGGGUUAACAAAUUAACCAGUUUCUCGCUCUUCUAAUGUGUCUCUUCCCAGGGCGAGAAGGGCGAGCCUGGCUCAAUCAUUGGGCCUGAUGGGAAUACUUUGUACCUGGGAAGAUUGUCGGGUGAGAAGGUGAGCGUCUCACUAUUGAUUUCUGUAGUCUGCAGUAAUAUUUGACACGUGUGUUUAUAGUAUAUAUGAUACUAUAAAUAUCUCACAUGCGACUCAUAAUAA